rnacentral:lncRNA from 7 species
GGCUCCUGCAUGAGUCUAGAGAAAGAAUAACCAAGGAAAGCCUUACCCCUGCAGUUUGCAGAAAGGCUACAUCGAACCCAAGACGGUCUUCGCUCAAUGAGAAGGCUUGUCACCACUGUGCCAGACCUAUCCUUCAAAGGAAAGCCUUACCCCUGCAUUUUGCAGAAAGGCUACAUCGAACCCAGGACGGUCUUCGCUCAAUGAGAAGGCUUGUCACCACUGUGCCAGACCUAUCCUUCAUCGAGCGAGCAAAGUAAAAAAAGAUAGUGGAAUAUAUGAUUUCUAAGAAGAAAACAAAGAUGUCUUUAUCCAAUGAUAGAGCAGGAAAUGGGUUUGUCAUGCAUUUCUGAGUGAAGCGUUAGAAUACCCAUGACCUCAAGUACUUAGUUGGGAGACAUUAGAAUACCAUGAACUCAUAUGCUCGUUUGGGCAAGGUAUCCCAAAUUAGCACUACAGGGGAUGGUGAGCAUUAGAUUGGCGAGGUAGCAACACUACCUCUAUUAAUGUUGCAUGUUCUGCAUUAUGUUUAUGCACUCACGGGACAUGAAACUGGCAAAAAAAUGUAGCAAUUUUUCAGAAUAACUUUCUUGCUGCAUUUCUUGGCAUCUAGCAUGCAACAAUCUAUUUAAAGUACAUCACAAUUGAAGCAUGGUAUGAAGCAUGAACAGCACGGCAGUGGCAAAUGGUAGAUCUAAAAUCGUAGGCAGCUUCAAUAAUGCAGCAUAAAUGUACAUAUCAUCCAACUAAACUAAAAAAUGAGGACACUGUUUAGAAUGCCAAGUGCUUGAAUAAUUUUACAUUGAUGAGCUAACACUUUUGUUGUAGGCAUUGCCAUAGAAUAUUUUGAUCUAUAUAAAGGAAAUGUGGUGAGAACAAAUUCCAUUGAAUAUAACAAUAUAAAAAUGGAAAAUCACAUAUAGAAAAUGAGUCUAUAUAUUUUUUCUCCAUAGACAUGUUACCUUUAAAAAUGGGUAUCACCUGUAUCUGCUCUCGUAUAUAACCCUAUGCAUCAGAAAUCCUCACGUUUAUUAAUCUUGGCAGCAACAUACUGAAAUCUAUAUCCAUGAAACGUGGUGAGAAUAAAUUCUAUAAAGGUAAUAAU